CUUGCUCUUUCCGGAAUUGAGUGGCAAACGGGUGAGUAACACGUGAGCAACCUGCCUUUCAGAGGGGGAUAACGGCUGGAAACGGUCGCUAAUACCGCAUGAUGUGUUCGGAUGGCCCAUGGAAGAAAAGGUGGCCUCUACCUGUAAGCUAUCGCCUGAAGAGGGGUUUGCGUCUGAUUAGCUGGUUGGAGGGGUAACGGCCCACCAAGGCGACGAUCAGUAGCCGGUCUGAGAGGAUGAACGGCCACACUGGAACUGAGACACGGUCCAGACUCC
rnacentral:rRNA from 1 species